rnacentral:rRNA from 1 species
GAUGAACGCUGGCGGCGUGCUUAACACAUGCAAGUCGAACGGGAAUUAUUUUAUUGAAACUUCGGUCGAUUUCAUUUAAUUCUAGUGGCGGACGGGUGAGUAACGCGUGGGUAACCUGCCUUAUACAGGGGGAUAACAGUCAGAAAUGGUUGCUAAUACCGCAUAAGCGCACAGAGCUGCAUGGCUCAGUGUGAAAAACUCCGGUGGUAUAAGAUGGACCCGCGUUGGAUUAGCUUGUUGGCAGGGUAACGGCCUACCAAGGCGACGAUCCAUAGCCGGCCUGAGAGGGUGAACGGCCACAUUGGGACUGAGACACGGCCCAGACUCCUACGGGAGGCAGCAGUGGGGAAUAUUGCACAAUGGGGGAAACCCUGAUGCAGCGACGCCGCGUGAAGGAAGAAGUAUCUCGGUAUGUAAACUUCUAUCAGCAGGGAAGAUAGUGACGGUACCUGACUAAGAAGCCCCGGCUAACUACGUG